AGUUGGUCCGCGGGCCGUAGUUUGGACACCCCUGCUUUAGUACUGCUUCAGUACUGACAGCAGCUGCAUCGUAACGUGUGUACCGCGGAAACCUGUCCGGCGGAAGUUGUGCUCACGGCCUUAUCACAAAAGAAAUGGCGAGCGGUAUCGGCAAACACAAGAUACUGAAUGUGGGGCCAACAGAGCCCUGGUCAGUCAGGGAGAAACUGUGCCUGGCCUCCUCUGUUAUGAGGAGUGGCGACCAAAACUGGGUGUCUGUAAGUAGAGCCAUCAAGCCUUUCUCAGAGCCUGGCCGUCCACCUGACUGGUUCUCACAGAAGCACUGUGCCUCCCAGUACUCCGAGCUGUUGGAGGCCACGGAAGCACCUAAGCGUAAGCGUGGUGAGAAGGGUGAGGUGGUGGAAACCAUCGAAGAUGUCAUCGUUCGUAGGCUAACCACUGAGAGGAUAGAGGAACUGAAAAAACUUCUGAGAGACACACAAGAGAAGUACAGGAAGUUGAAGAAGGAGGUGGAUCUGAUACAGACGGGUCACAUGGACUCCCAGCUGAAGGAGCUGUGGGCAGACUCCUCACUGAAAAAGAAGCAGGCUGAGGAUGAAGCGGAGCAGAAGAGGAAAGCCACAGAAACGGCGUACCAAGCUCGUCAGGCAUUGAAAAACACCCCUAAGCGUCAGCCCAGUGUAACUGUGCGUUCUCCUAUGGCUGCCAGCCCCCCCACCACAGAUUCUCAGGUUGACUCCUCGGUCCCCAUGACGCCCAUGGAUACAGGAAGUGUUGCCUCCGAUGACACCACUACCACCCACUCAGUUGCCCAGGGGGUCGGACUGUUUCUACCAGCGACGGAGGCUCCAGGGCCCAAAGAUGGAGGCCUGGUCGCUCUAGUAGAUGAUUCACCGCAGAAGAGGCUCCUUGCCCAGAAGUCCACGCCACCGCCCUCGCCUCUCCUGUCGGAACUGCUAAAAAAAGGCAACCUUAUCUCAGCCAGCCCCCGCCUGGUUGGAGAGGGAGACUCUACUGGAAGCCUCACUAAUGGAGUACAGACCGCCAUCGCUGCCACUGUCUUACCACCUGGUCACGAGGUCAUCACUGAGGGUGAAGCGGCAGUGAAGUCGGAGCUCGGUGAGGAGACGGGAUUAGUAGAAGAGGACCUUGUAGCUGUGUCUUACAUGGGAGAUGAACUGGACCUGGAGACAGUCGGAGACAUCAUUGCCAUCAUAGAGGAGAAGGUGGAUGACUCUGUGGAGGCCUUGGAUGCAGCAGCAGUGGAAGCAGCUCUGUCUCUGUGUGAGGAUGCCGGCUCAGAAGGACACACCCUCCCCGGCCCAUGGGAGACCCAGGAGCUGAAGGCUUCAGACCCAGCCCCCACCGCCUCGGCCUCGGACCACACACAGGAGCCUCAGGAUGUGGCCGCAAUGUCGGACCUGAUUCCUGCAGGCAUAGAGACCCAGCAUCAACCGGAUAUUAAAAGAGAACAGCUCAAGGGACACUGUGAGGGACCUGAGGCAACAGGAAGUGAUGUCACCUCUUCUGUCACCUCUGACGAGGGUGCGACAGGAAGUGAGGUUACGGAAGAGGGGGCGUUGGGGAAGGAGGCCACUGAAGCGACGGUCAAGAGUGAAGGAGAGGAAUGGAGCCAGCCGGAGCCCAACCCGCCCUGCCUCGACUCUGAGGACAGCUCUGUGUCCGGGAAAGAGUCCAAGGAGGUGAAGGAGGAGGAGGCGGGAAGUGAGGGCGACCCAGAAGAAGGGAUGGAGCUGAAGGAGGAGUGUGGCGAGGGGGAGGGUCCCUAUCUGUCCGAGGUGGAGCGGGCAGCCAGUGAGAGUGAAGACGGUUACGGCCCGCCCUCCCAGCGCUACACAGCGGAUUCACUGGCCAGCAGCCCGGCCUCUUCUUCACAGCUAUCUACAUGUGGUGAGGACCAGGAAGCCGUGCAGGCCCAGAAGAUCUGGAAGAAAGCCAUCAUGCUGGUGUGGAGAGCUGCAGCCAACCACAGGUAUGCCAGUGUCUUCCUGCAGCCUGUGUCGGAUGACAUCGCGCCUGGUUACCACAGCAUCGUACACAGACCCAUGGACCUGUCGGCCAUCAAGAAGAACAUCGAGUCCGGUGUGAUCCGUACGACAGCCGAGUUCCAGCGCGACAUCAUGCUGAUGUUUCAGAAUGCCGUCAUGUACAACUCGUCGGACCACGACGUGUACCACAUGGCGCUGGAGAUGCAGCGGGACGUCCUGGAGCACGUCCAGCAGUUCCUGGCCACGCAGCUCAUCAUGCAGACCUCGGAGAGCGCCAUCUCCGCCAAGAGCCUUCCGCGGCAGGGAGGGAAACCGUAAGCCAGGAGAGCCGGCUGAGAAGGACAGUGUCCCAAUGGCCUCUCCUGCUUUCCUUCUCUCUCUCUUUGACGGAGGAACCAGGGGUCGCCGUAGUGCCAUGGAGGCCGACCUCAAAAUGAAGAAAUAAACUUUCCAAAAUCAGAGAACAAGACACUUAGAGAGACAGAGUCGCUCAGAGAAGUUGGAGCUGUAUACUCGCUGGUUGGUUGUUUUCUGGAGGUGUGUGCGUGUGUGUGCGUGUGCGCGUGUGCGCGCACUUAUUUAUCUGUACUUUGGCGUACACAUGGGUAUAAGUGUGUCUGAAAGAGCUGCACAGAGCUUCUUCUUCUCCAGUUUAUGUGCAGCAUCAUGGGAUUUCACUACACGUUCCUCCAUGUAUCAUUUCCCCAGCAAAGUUAGUGGCUCAUCAUUUCCCUCCACUGAGAUGCAACAGUGAAGAACUUUGAGAGGGAGUAAAAGAAACAUUUUCACCAGCUAAAGUUUGUUUGGGAUCAAACGAUGAUGAUCAUGUUGAAUCGUGGAUGCAUUAGUUAGUUGAUUAAUUGACUGCACCAAACUAUGUGCGGCUGUGUGGGCUGAAAAGACAGACAGCAACAACAGCCAGGAUGUCCCCAUGACGAAUCAUAAUGUACAGUUUCACAAAUUUAAAACUAAUACUAUUCCUAGUACUGCAUGUUGGGCUAACACCACACGGAACAGACUUCUCUCAGUUUGAUCACUGCUAAAACUUUCUAUUCAAAAGUAAUGUUUUCAUUAAUGGAAGAAGAGUGUUUUUCUAAAUUAAAGGGACGGUUCAGGUGUUUUUGAAGUGGGGUUGUAUGAGGUACUUAUCCACAGUCGGUGUAUUACUACAGUGAAUGGAGGUCUACACGCCUCCAGUUUGGAGAAACAGACCGAGUAGAGAACAGAGUACCAGCACAGAGGAUGAGCAAUGUCCUGCUGUGGACGGGGGCAGCAGCAGACAGAGUUUAGACAUCUAAAACAAUCAAAAUCAGUUUUAGUGGAGACUAUAUUUAGAAUAUUGUCUCACCUUUACCUGGCUGUCAGACCUUUCUGACAGGAACUGAAGCCGUUAUCGCUGCUCCCUUCAAAGCCACCAGACUUCUUUAACAAAAGCAGUAAUUGUACCUCACAGAACACAGAGUUGCUGGUCGACCACGACGAUCAGUUAGUUUGUUUGUGUGACUUUGAGGAAUCCGAACUACCCUUUUAAAACACCUGUACCUGGAUGAGUACUUCAUACAACUCCAAACUAUCCCGUAAAGAAAAUCUGAUGUCACUAAACUGGUGGUUUAUGUCAGCUUUGUUUAGUGUCAGUUGGCCAAUACAUAUAUCUAUGGUGGUUUUGCUGGUUUAGGCCAAUUGACUGCAAAUUGCAUAUACUUUACAUUUAUUCUAACCUUUUUUCCAAAGCACAUGUUUUAAGUUUCACUGCCUGCUCUUAUGCAAGCCUAAGCGUCCAUAAAAUUCAGAAGACAAUGUAAUUUGUCUUUUUAAAUCAACCUCAUAACAAAAAAUGAAACGUGCUCGAGAUAUGUAAUCAGGAAACAAUUAGUUGCUUUUUGUCAACAGUGUGCGGUACCAGCUCUUUGCAUUCAAGUACAAACCAAGCAUCUGAAAAUUGGCAACGUGUGUUUUCAAAGUCCAAAAUACAAGCAAGAUAUUAUGGAAGUAGGAAAAUGAUUUGCAUGGAAGAAAUUGCCAGCAGACUUUAAAUUCUCAGAUGUGCGAGUGUCCUUGAAAGCACCAACAGUUCCUGCUUUGACCUGCCAUGUAAUGAUGAUAUAACUUUGACAACAAACGGAGUCAAAUUGUUCACAGCUCUUAUUUUAUGUUUUAGUAAAUUAAUGGACACAUCUUUGAAGGUAGAGGCAGAAAAUCCAGCUAAAAACUAAAUCUAUUCUUUGUAACAGUUGGCUGUGAUGUAAAUGGCAGGUGUUUCAUGGUGUGUUAAUGGGCUGAAACGUAGGACGUGGAGUUUGUUGCUGAAAUAGUGUUGAUGCAUCACUACUCUUCACUUAGGAUGUUUGUAAUGUGUGUUAGAUGGGAGUACAAAAACAAGUUUUGUACCUGAGAUGGAUCAUGUAGAGUUUUGUGUUUGGGUAGCUGAUACACGUAUCAUGUGUUCUGUUGUACAUUUGUUAAAUAAAAUGAUUAUUUGAUCUAAA